rnacentral:lncRNA from 1 species
CUCAACCUCACAUUCCCCUCAUUUUGCAAUACCAUUCUCUCUCUCUCCUCUUAAAAUCUAUUUUCGUCUCUAUUCACUUUUCUCUCUCUAAUAGACUUUCUCUGCGCAAACAAAACAUCAUUGCUCCCUCCAUCGUGAGCUCUGGAAAGGAUGGCCAAAAUCACCAUCCAAACAUACCAGUAUGACCGACUAUCUCUCCUCAACACAAAUCCACUUUCUAAAUCCCCAAAUUUGAAACCAAAUUCAUUUAUUAUACAAAUCAAAGCAUGAACCCUAAUUUUGAAAAGUUAAAUUAAAUGGUCGUUACAUAUGAUUUCAAGCAGAUAAUAAAGGGUUAUUAUUCAGUAUAACAAGGGUAACAACAUGGUAUGUAAAAAUGCAAAAAUAUGAAUGAAUACCACCCUGACCGGAGCAAGUCCAACAACCUACGAAGACGUUUCCAGGUGUAUCCUUCUUCCUUAACUUAUAUGCAUUUUCUAUCCUUUUCCACUCCUCUGUUUUUCUUUUACCUCUUGAUUUGCUAGGUUGCUGGUUGAUGAGAGGAUGAUGUUGAGUAAGUUAGGUUAAGCUAAACUCUGUUAAACUUCAUGGAUAAGUUUAGAGAGUUUUUUUUAGUGAGCUCUAGGUGGAUUUGGUGUUAAGGGUUAUUAAAUAGUGGAGAGGUGGUGAAAAUAGAAGGGAACGGUGAGGUUGUAAGGAGGAUUUUUUCUAGGGAUAUUAGAGAUGCAAUAUUGGUAAUCCAUGUGCUUAAGUUUGAUGAAAGAUUGAGAUGAGUUUGGGAGUAAUUUGUUUCAUUUCAUUUGUGUUUGGUUUAGUUGAAAUUGUAGUGAAAUAAAGAUGAAAUUCACAUUGCAAUUUGAGUGUGAGUCUUGUGAUUUUGGUGUAAUUCUUGUGGUCCCCAAAUUUCUAUGAUGUAUGUAUGUAUCAUGACUGUAUGGCUUGCUGAGUUCUUUUGUUUGACAUUUCCAUGUAUGCAUAUGUUGGUAUGAUGAUGUAUAUGUUGUUGAUGUACACUUGAUUUCCUUGGUAGAUUGGUGCUUCUUUCAUUCUGUAGGUUUGACUAUUGUUGAUGAUGCACAUAGUGGAUGUUCAUGAUGAUGAUGAGGGCGCGAGAAAGGAGAGUGUGGUCUAUCAAACUUGGAUCCUUAAUUUAUUUAAUUUCUUCUUUUUUAUAAUAUUUUAUAUUUUAGAAAAAUAAGAUGUAAAAAUAAUGAAAAGUAUUUAAUAAAAUUCUUCCUUUGUGAGUUUAUGUAAAUAAAAUAAUUUCCUCUUAAUUCUUAGUUUUGUUCUUUGUAAUACUAUUUUGGAAAAGUGUAAGAAUAUACUACUAUUAGGUGUAGUUAAAAGGUGAUUUAAGAUACAGGUGUACUAACAUGCCAUCUUAAAAACAAAUGAAAGAUAAAAGUGUGAGUCCAACUUCUUUUAGAUGUGUUUUGUAUGAUGUCAAAACUAUGAUACUUUAGCGUAAAUGUAUAUUGGAAGGUAUUAUCUGAAUCU